AAUGAACGCUGGCGGCAGGCCUAACACAUGCAAGUCGAGCGGAUGAAGGGAGCUUGCUCCUGGAUUCAGCGGCGGACGGGUGAGUAAUGCCUAGGAAUCUGCCUUGUAGUUGGGGAUAACGUCCGGAAACGGGCGCUAAUCCCGCAUACGUCCUGAUGUAGAAAGUGGGGGAUCUUCGGACCUCACGCUAUCAGAUUAGCCUAGGUCGGAUUAGCUAGGUGGUGGGGUAAAUGCCUACCAAGGCGACGAUCCGUAACUGGUCUGAGAGGAUGAUCAGUCACACUGGAACUGAGACACGGUACAGACUCCUACGGGAGGCAGCAGUGGGGAAUCUUGGACAAUGGGCGAAAGCCUGAUCCAGCAAUGCCGCGUGUGUGAAGAAGGUCUUCGGAUUGUAAAGCACUUUAAGUUGGGAGGAAGGGAAGUACGUUAAUCCCUUGCUGUAUUGACGUUACCAACAGAAUAAGCCCCGGCUAACUUCGUG
rnacentral:rRNA from 1 species